UACGUAGGGUGCAAGCGUUUAAUCGGAAUUACUGGGCGUAAAGGGCGCGUAGGCGGUGUGUCAAGUCAGGCGUGAAAGCCCCGGGCUCAACCUGGGAACCGCGCUUGAGACUGGCACGCUCGAGUUCGGGAGAGGAUGGUGGAAUUCCCAGUGUAGAGGUGAAAUUCGUAGAUAUUGGGGAAGAACACCGAUGGCGAAGGCAGCCAUCUGGACCGACACUGACGCUGAGGCGCGAAAGCGUGGGGAGCAAACAGG
rnacentral:rRNA from 1 species